rnacentral:RNase_P_RNA from 1 species
CUGCGCGAUCAGGCAACCGCUGGACAUGAGCCCGGUUCGCCGGGCCGGUCGGGAGGAAAGUCCGGUCUUCACAGGGCGGCAUGCCGGCUAACGGCCGGGGGCCUGUGCUCCAAGGUGCAGGCUACGGAAAGUGCCACAGAAAAGAUACCGCCCGCUCUUCUCGAAAAGACGGGUAAGGGUGAAAAGGUGCGGUAAGAGCGCACCGCGAGUCUGAGCGAUCAGACCGGCAGGGAAAACCCCAUGCGAAGCAAGACCAAAUAGGGGAGGAGGAGUGGCCCGCUCCGUUACAACUUCCGGGUAGGUCGCUUGAGCCUCUCAGCAAUGGGAGGCCUAGACGAAUGGUUGCCGCCCGCUUCGGCGGGACACAGAAACCGGCUUACCGAUCGCGCAGGUUC